GUAUAUAUAGCUCAGUGGUAGAGCGUGUGCCUAGCAUGUACGAGGUUCAGGGUUCAACCCCUAGUACCUCCA
rnacentral:tRNA from 1 species